CGCAGCCGCGGUAAUUCCAGCUCCAAUAGCGUAUAUUAAAGUUGUUGCAGUUAAAAAGCUCGUAGUUGAAUUUCGGGGUCAGCAGGUCGGUCGUGCCAAUGGUAUGCACUGGCCUUGCUGAUUCCUCCCUCUUGAUGAGCCGUAAUGCCAUUAAUUUGGUGUUGCGGGGAAUCAGGACUGUUACUUUGAAAAAAUUAGAGUGUUUAAAGCAGGCAAGCGCUUGAAUACAUUAGCAUGGAAUAAUGAAAUAGGACGUUCGAUCCUAUUUUGUUGGUUUCUAGGAUUGACGUAAUGAUUAAUAGGGAUAGUUGGGGGCAUUAGUAUUCAAUUGUCAGAGGUGAAAUUCUUGGAUUUUAUUGAAGACUAACUACUACGAAAGCAUUUGCCAAGGAUGUUUUCAUUAAUCAAGAACGAAAGUUAGGGGAUCGAAGACGAUCAGAUACCGUCGUAGUCUUAACCAUAAACUAUGCCGACUAGGGAUCGGAUGAUGU
rnacentral:sRNA from 1 species